UGAAAUGCGAUACGUAAUGUGAAUUGCAGAAUCUCGUGAAUCAUUGAAUCUUUGAACGCACAUUGCGCCUUAUGGUAUUCCAUAAGGCAUGCCUGUCUGAGCGUCAGCUCCCACCCACUCAAGCUCUUUUGCUUGGAUUAUUUUGGACGAGCAGUCAUCUUUUGAUUGCUGCCCAUAAAUUCAUAGGCAGUAUGGUACCCCACUCCAAGCUGAGCGUAAUAAUUAAAAACAAUCACGCCCAUAUUGAAGUGAGGAUCGUACUCGCCCUUAACCCACAAAUUUCAUUAUUAUUUUCGGGUGACCUCAGAUCAGGUAGGGAUACCCGCUGAACUUAA
rnacentral:misc_RNA from 1 species